AGAGUUUGAUCCUGGCUCAGGAUGAACGCUAGCGGCAGGCCUAAUACAUGCAAGUCGAACGGUGAUAGCAAUACCAUAGUGGCGCACGGGUGCGUAACACGUAUGCAACCUACCUUAUACUGAGGGAUAGCCUUUCGAAAGGGAGAUUAAUACCUCAUAACACAUUGAACUGGCAUCAGUUUAUUGUUAAAGAUUUAUUGGUAUAAGAUGGGCAUGCGUCCAAUUAGUUAGUUGGCGAGGUAACGGCUCACCAAGACGAUGAUUGGUAGGGGAACUGAGAGGUUAAUCCCCCACACUGGCACUGAGAUACGGGCCAGACUCCUACGGGAGGCAGCAGUAGGGAAUAUUGGGCAAUGGAGGCAACUCUGACCCAGCCAUGCCGCGUGCAGGAAGAAGGCGUUAUGCGCUGUAAACUGCUUUUAUAUAGGAAGAAAUAGACCUUGCGAGGUAAGUUGACGGUACUAUAUGAAUAAGCACCGGCUAACUCCGUGCCAGCAGCCGCGGUAAUACGGAGGGUGCAAGCGUUGUCCGGAUUUAUUGGGUUUAAAGGGUGCGUAGGCGGUUUAUUAAGUCAGUGGUGAAAGACGGUCGCUNCACGAUUGCAGUGCCAUUGAUACUGGUA
rnacentral:rRNA from 1 species